UCCUCAAUUCAGCACUCAUAUGGUUCACGAAAUACAUGGCAGGCAAAAUAAUAGAGUGAUGAGAGGAUCAGCAGUAGCAAUCAGCAACAAUACAACCAAUGGAACAGUAAAUUAGGAUCAAUCAACCCAUAUUCGAAUUGAAAUCAAACCCCAAAUACCAAACUCAAAUCAGAACCAAAAGAAAAUCCAAACUAAGCAAUCUUGAAACCUCAAAUAGUUAAGAUGUUCUUCAGAGAUUGAACAGUAAUCAAAUUGCCAUAGUAAUCAAUGAAACAUUGCAACCGUUUGAUUUUUCUCAUAUUUUCAGAUUUCUAAUUCUCUCUAGGUCUGUGUAUUUUCAGCUCUCUCCUCCUUCCGCAGGUGUCCAGUGUAC
rnacentral:lncRNA from 1 species